rnacentral:rRNA from 1 species
AUGGCAGGCGAGGACACCGACCCCAAGUCCAGCGCUUCUGCUGCUGCUGUGCCGUACGUGUUCUUCUCCUUUCUGUUAGAAGUCCUGUUACAGUUCUUGGCUCUAGUUUCUGCUCUACGUAUGUUAGGCUCUAUGUCGUAUAAGCAACUUCAUCUAGUGACUGUUCUACAUGUGUUUACCUCAAGUUCAUAUAUGCGGACGAUGUUUACCUUCUCUCUGUCAGAUUGCAUGAAUUGCUAUAUAUUUGCUAUUUUAGUCAUGUUUUAUCUACUAUUUCUGUUAAUAAAAUCAUUUGAUAAAUUGCUCAUAUUUCCAACAAUCCAAAAACCUUAUUAUAGGCAAUUUACCCCAAGUGGUUUUGCUGCUUCCAUGAGACCUCCUAUGUUUGAGGGUAUCCACUAUAAGAGGUGGCGCGUGAGAGUAGUCUUAUGGUUUCAAACCAUGAGUUGCUAUGACGCCACUCUUGGCAAACCUGAAGGAGAGCAAGAUGCCCAACAGGCACAAGCUUUUCAGAAAAUGGAUACCUUGUUUAAGGCUGCGCUCUUGAGUGUUCUUGGAGAGAACAUAGUUGAUGCUUAUGCGUCAAUUGACAAUGGAAAAGAUAUGUGGGACGCACUCGAGGCCAAGUUUGGGGUCUCGGAUGCCGGCACUGAGCUGUACAUCAUGGAGCAAUUCUAUGAUUACAGGAUGACUAAAGAGCGCUCCGUGGUUGAUCAGGCUCAUGAUAUACAGUCAUUUGCUAGAGAACUUGAGCACUUCAAUUGCAUGCUACCCGACAAGUUUGAUGCCGGGGGUAUCAUCACUAAGCUUCCUCCUUCAUGGAGGAACUUUGCUACCUUACUGAAACAUAAGAGACAGGAGUUUUCCGUUCCGGAUCUCAUUGGUACUCUUGAUGUGGAAGAAAAGGCGAGAGCAAAGGACACACGUGCUCGAGGUAUUGAGGGAGGAUCUAGUGCCAAUGUGGUACAGAAGCAGAACUUCCAGCCCCACAAGUUCAAGAACAAGGGCAAGUUUGAUGGUAAAGCAAAGUUUGAUGGGAAGAACAAGGCUGUGCAACACACGAACUUCAAAAAGAAGAAUGGCAAGAAGAAAGGUGCUUGUCAUGUGUGUGGAGAUCCUGAUCAUUGGGCUCCUAGUUGCCCUAAUCGCUAUGACAAGCGUCAUCCUGGGAAAGGCGGCAAGACCGCUAAUGUUGUCAUUGGAGGCACUGACAUGAAGGAUGUUGGGUAUGGUAUAUUUCCCACUAUUCUUUCAGUAUGUCAUUCUCCUGACUGGUUGAUUGACACGGGUGCUAAUGUGCAUGUAUGCGGUGAUAUUUCCAUGUUUUCGUCUUAUCAGACCGCAGGGACUUCAACCGUGCUGAUGGGCAACGGUUCAAGUGCUUCUGUUCAUGGUGUUGGCAUGGUCGAUCUGAAGUUUACUUCGGGGAAGAUCGUGCGGCUGAAGAACGUGCAUUAUGUCCCCUCCGUCAAUAAAAAUCUUGUUAGCGGGUCUCUUCUGUGUAGAGAUGGCUAUAAGCUUGUCUUUGAGUCAAAUAAAUUUGUAAUAUCCAAAUAUGGAACCUUUGAUGGUAAAGGCUAUGAGUCAGGAGGCCUGUUUCGUUUAUCCUUAUCAGACGUUUGCAAUAAAGUUGCUAAUCAUAUUUGCAACAAUAGUGAAUGA